GCCAGGCAUGGUGUCGCACACCUGUAAUCCCAGCAGCUCUGGAGGCUGAGGCAGGAGGAUCACGAGUUCAAAAUUAGUCUCAGUGAUGGCGAGGCCCUAAGCAACUCAGUGAGACCCCGUCUCUA
rnacentral:sRNA from 1 species